rnacentral:lncRNA from 1 species
AUGCAGGAAGUGCCAAAAUUCAGUCUUUUAUCCUAUUGAGAGAGUUGACUCAGGACAUCCAUGAGUCGAUUCACAGGUGUGCCAAUACCAGAGCAUGCUAGAGUCGACUAAUCCAUGCCAUGAGUUGACUCAUUGACCUCAAUUUGACUUUCUCAUUUAAUUCAUCUUCAAAAUUAUUUUUUAAGAUUCAAAUACUUUUUAGAUGAUUUCA